rnacentral:sRNA from 1 species
AAAGAAGACACAAAAAGU